rnacentral:lncRNA from 1 species
GGACAAUCCCCUCUCUGCUCCUGCUGGCUACACUAUUUCCGAUACAAGGGCCAAGCCCGUAGCGUUGCCUCAGGUUGUUGUGGCCAAAGUGCAGGACCCAGCACUUGGUCUUGUUGAAUUUUAUCCCACUGGCUACAGCCCAGCAAUCCAGCCUGUCCAGAGCCCUCUGCAGAGCCUUCCUACCCUCAGGCAGAUCAACACUUCCUCCCUACUUGGUAUCAUCUGCAAACUUACUGAGGGUGCGGUGUACUCAAUCCCCUCAUCCAGGUCAUCCAUAAAGACAUUAAACAGGACAGACUCCAGUACCAGCCCAGUCUUCUACUGCUUUGAUUUUCAUCUAGCAAGUUUUGGUCUGGCAAAGCAGCCAUUGCUAGCCACAGGAAACAAUUAAAUAUUUAUGCAUAUAGUGUGGGAGACUGAUAGCGAAUAGCAGAUGUUAAUUCACUCCUGUGAGGAAAAGCUGGCCCUGAGAACAGAUCAAUUACAAUGGAUGAAGGUAAUUUUUAAGACUUAAUAUUUAUUUAGGAAAAAAAAAUGUUCAUUUAUGUUGUAUUAUGGCACACAGUUCAUGAGAGUGGAAGGGUGGAGCCAGCCAGACUUUAUAUUUAGGAAAAUGAGAUAAAUUUGAAGAAGAUAUUUUAUUUUUAAACUUCUUAGCUGUAAACAGUGGUCAGAGAAGGAAAUAUACUAAGCAAGAUACCCACAAUUUCAUACAUUAUUCUGUUGAUAUAAAUCCACAAGUAGAUGAGUGUAUUUUUAAGUAUAUCUAGUCAUUUUUCAAAGUCUGUCCUCAGAAUACGUACGUUCUAAUGCUAGUGACUAGUUGGAGAGUUUUACACUUAUCCUCAUAAAUGUUUAACAAUUGUAAUUGAAGUUCUCCUACUUAAAGCUUCUCUGGACUCUAGAAAUAUUUUGUGAAGUUUUAGAAAAACAGGAUUGAGUUUCUACAGCUUAACAAGACAUUGAGUAUUAUUUCAUCCACAGCAAAUGACAAUGUAUGCUCAUGCUUUUGUACUGUCAUUUAGGCAGGUAAUUAUAAAACACACAAUGUUAGAAAAUGAACAAAAAGGAUUGUAGAAGGGAUUGAUAAAGGGCUAAGGACAGUGGCUUCUGUUAAAGACUGAAAAGUGAAUUCAGUAACUUAACAGUGCAAAACACUAAGUUCUUGUUCAGAAGAAUUUGUUCAGAAAUUUUCAAAAGUCUUCAGUUGAUUUGUAAUGUAAGCAGCAGAGAUUAAUCUAAGAAGAAAGAGUUUCAGUUGUACAGUAUGCAAAAAAAAUGCUAACUAAAAGGAUAUUUAAUAAAAGAUGGAUUAGUGAUUAAAAAAUGUGUUAA